ensembl:lncRNA
AUCACAUGAAUGUGUUACUGUAUACAAAACUCUUUUAAUGCUUUAUUCUCAAAUGCUGGGUUGAAGAAUGUUUUGAAAGCCUUUUAAAAUAUAUAUCUUUAUACAGUAAUGUUCAGGGUGAUGAUGGAAAUUGUUUAUAUUGUUAUGAUAGAAAUGACAGUAUAAUGUUACCCAGUGUAUUUAAUGAUUUAUUUGAAGAGGGAGAGAGGAAGAAGGUUCUCAUACCACUUUCUCCUUUGAAAUUUUCAGUUUAUUGGCUUUUUAAAAAUUAAUACUUCAGGCAGUGGACAUUUUUUCAGUAUCGUUUAAAGGAUAUCCUGUGUGCUGAAUAGUUUAUGGCACAUAAUUAAUUUGGUCUGAAUAUUUGGUUCUUUUUCUUCCUUUCAAGUUGACAGAGUAUUGAAUAAAGAGGCUCAGAGUAGAACGAUUGACACGCUGGUACGUUUGUUAGCACCUCUUGCAUCUCCCGUAAAACUGCCCUUUGGAUUCCUUGUUCACGCUCGAGUUCUCUUUCAAAAGUGACCAGACCAUGUGCAUGUAGGAGCAGGACUACAGAAUGAUAUUCAUGUAGAGGUAAAACCUUCAUUUUAAUACUUAAAGUUACAUAAAUCUUUUCAAAAGGUAUUUUGUUGUAUAGACCAUGCUGUUUGUACCCAUCCCUGCCCACUUCUUGCUGUAGGCCCUGUAUUCACGUACAGAAGUGUAAUCCUUCUCUCUUGCGUGAAGUGUAGGUGGGGGGGUUGGGGAGGGACACAGACAUCUUUGAAAUCAGAGUACAGUCAAAGGCAUUCCUGAGUUGGUGGUUUUGUUGCUGUGGCAGAAUGUGCUAUGAAAUGCAUAGAAGAAAUUCUCCACGUGUGCCCCCUAAUUACUCAGCCUCCCCUCCUCUCCCUGCGUGCUGUGGACACGCCAGGCCACCACGCUUCUGCAGGUCUAGCUCAUGGAGCUCGUUGCACCAGGUUGCCUUUCCUAGUCCUGUCAGUCCAUAGUCGGGUGUGAAUUGCUGAAUUAGCCGCUAUGCUAUAUGGACUCACAGUUAAGCUUUUUCUUACCGUUUUCUAUGGGGAAGCUAUAGGGUGGGUAAGGAGGAAAUUUGGAGUGCUUAUACCUUGCUGAAAAUGUUGAAACUUUCCUGUGACAGGAUACAGCAAAUUGUAAUUAAAUAUAAACCAGAACCAGAGCUACCUCUAAGUAGUGUUUCCUCAAGCACAAAGCUCUCAGGCAUAUGAGACCCACUGUGAUGGAGGGUCUCUGAUUUCUUGAGCAUCAGUGAGUUUCAGAAGUGAUUGUCUUUUGUAGUCUCCUAGUUCCCUUGUAACUACACACUUUUUUCCCCAUUCCACACUGUGCUUAAAUGACAAAGACUCUUCUGAGAAGCCAAAUUCUGUCAAAUGAUUAGCUAGAGAUAUUGUUGAUUACAGGGAAACGUAGAGCUGUGAGGCGGAGGCGGCGAGCUCUGUAGUUCCAGUUCUAAUAGGCUUCUGGUUGAAUAAAUCAGUUCUUUCCUGGGAAAUGAUCUUUUAUAGGAAAUGGGAUAUUUUAAAUGCUUUUCUUAAGUUGAAGGCACAACAGUUAAUGCCACUACUGUUGCUAUCCUGUGGCUGACAUGGUUUUGAUACAGCUUUAAAACUUCUGUUACCAAGCUUGGGGUAGAACGUGAUACCAGUUUUAAAUGUUGGCUGUAGCUUUUUGUAAUCCUUCUCUGAUUUGCCGUGUAAUAACUUCACAAGCUAAAUUUUCAGGAAGAAUUUUGUUUCAGAAAAUGCCUCUUGUCGAUUUGGGAGCAACAUGUCUUUUCAAUCAUGGGGUUGGCAAAUGAAAAAUAAAGUUAUUUCUUACUCUA